UCCGAAUUGGUGUAGUGGCUAACAUUUGGUGCUCUCAUGUCAAUACUUAAUAACUUGACAGAUCCGCCAAGCCCGGGGUUCGAUUCCCCGAUUCGGAG